rnacentral:misc_RNA from 1 species
AAGGAUCAUUAUUGAAUAAAUUCUGUUGGGUUGUUGCUGGCCUUUAGGGGUAUUGUGCACACCUGACUCAAUUUAACCACCUGUGCACCUUUUGUAGACUUGGAUAUCAAUCAAGACUUAUUUGUCUUGGAUAUGAGGAUUGCAUUCAGCUUUCCUUUCAUUUCCAGUCUAUGUUUUUCAUAUACACUUGUAAAAAGUAAUUGUGGAAUUGAUGAUAAUUUUAAUACAACUUUCAACAACGGAUCUCUUGGCUCUC